CACAGCCCGGGCGGCAGCCAUGUUGGGAGUGCCGCCGGCGCGUUGACCUUUCACCCUAGCAACCGCCAUCACGUGCUUGCGCGCGCCGGUCCGGCCCUGUGCACUAGCCCCGCCCCCGAAUCCGCUAGUCUUUCCAGGUCAUGAAAGCAGACCGCUAACCAGCUGUGGCACUUGGGAACAGGCCCUUCACCUUGCCUGAGCGACACAAUAGAACUGACCCUGGAGUCAAAGGCACAGGAUGAACAAAGGUCCCUCAGCCACAAGCAAUCCAUCGGAAACAUUGCUAUGUCUAACAGCAAGAUCCAGACGAACUGAAGACAGACGGAACUGAAGACAUUCUUCAGUUGGUAAAGCACUUGCCUUGCAAGUAUGGGAACAUUCAAUCCCCAGAACCUAUUUUUUUUUAAACAACAAAAGCUCAACCAACCAACUAACCAACCAUCCAAACGAAAUAACAACAACAACAACAACAACAAAAUCCCGGAGACACAGCUCAGCAGAUUUGGCUGGAGGACUCUGACAGCUCUGACCCCAACUUUGGAGAAGGAGCACGUGGGAACAGCAGCGGCCAGCCAGCCUGAAGGGAGCUGAAGUCUGGCUCUAAACCUGCUGCCACAGCUACCUCCUCAGAGAAGCCACUGAGGAGUCUGGCCCCGCCACCUUCCAGUCUCUGCGGGGUCACUUGUUCUACAUUGCCAGGAACCCCCUCUAGCUGAGGAAGGCCCUGGUGGAGACCCCAGAAUGAAGGCAGGCCUGGGUCUUUCCAGGAAUCAUGAGCAGAAAGCUCCCUAGACCAACUAGGAUCUGCAUGCAGCAGGGUAUCUUCAGCUUCUAAGUGGGACAGGGAUGCGGGACUGUCAGAAAGCUGGACUAGGGUAGCCGUGGCUUUCUGAAACUCCUGGAGAGAUGCACAGGAGAGGUUACUCGCUGAGUCAGCUGAGUGGGUGAGAGAUAAGGCAGGGCCUUCAGAAGACCCUGAAUGGUUACUAGAAGCAGUCUCAGAACACAGCUCCGAGAUGGCAGCAGGCUGGCAUGGAGGGCUGUCGAGGCGCCAGGCAGACUGUGCUUCAGCCUCAUAGGCCGCAGGAGCUGCUGAGACGAAUUGAAUUAGGGAGGGGCUCACAGUUAGUACACCCUAGGUGGAAGACUAUCCCAGAAGCAGCGUUAGUUACACUUCUAGAGAGAGAGCAAGGGCAGUCCCAAAAAAGGGUGUUCCAACCGAGGACACUAAAAAGAGCAAUGGUAUCGGUGUGCUUAGUCUUUUGACAAUCCCCAGUUAACUGUUCCUUCCUUCCCUACUGGUGGGCCUCAUGUAGUUGUCCCCCAAGUGUCUGGACACAGCCUACAACCCCUCAGCUGCUGUUAGACCUGGUGGGUGGCCCUGCUUGGCUCACUUUGAAGUUUUAGACUCAGCCUGCAGCCCUGGGGGAAGGGGUCAGUAGAGUUCCCCCAUCCCACCAUGGCCGGCAACACGCCUUCAGAAAGACCUCACUUUGAUCCAAGAGCUACUUCCCAACAGUCUCUAAGUCAAGUGUUGAGCUGGUCCAGGGGUGGGGGCUGGGUCCUAAAGGGAUGGGAGCCUCACCUGGUGGAGCAGCCUCCUGCUCAGCUUCCGGACGGGCCGAGCAGACGUCCCGGCUCUCCUGCUGACAGGCUCCGCCCCUGCAAGUGAAUGGUGAAGCCGUGGCUGCUAGGGAAGGAGUCUUGCCUCCCAGCUGCCCCUGCCCCAGGACUCGCAGCCAGUAACCCCCAUGCCACACUCUAGGAACAGCCCUGCCCGUCACCCAGCCUUGGAAGUGAACAUUGCCACACUGGGAUACCUGGGACCCUGCUUUUGAUGCCUUUGAUGACAGAUGACAUCUGACCACAGGUCACCUUGAUAAGGUGACACUUCUAGACACCUGCAACCCCCAGCUGCACCUUGGCCCUUCAUUGAGUAUCAGUAGUUUUUGACACUAAGAGGGAGUCAGGCCCAGUAGGUAGUGUACUGCUGGACCCAGUCCAGGAAGGGUGGGGCUAGGGGUAGGCAUGGAGAAGUUCCAGACGCUGACUGAGACUGUUUCCAUGCUUCGUACCUUUACCCUACCCAUGUUCCACACCUUUGCUGCUCUGACUCAGAGUGUGCCUCUUUUCGGGCUUCUUCCUUAGAGCUUCUGGAAACAUCCAGCCCUUGGCUUGUUCUGUUUUCAGCCACGUGCUGGAAAUACAGAGAAAGAAGUCCAUCAGGGCCUCCCCACUUCCUCUGCUGGGGAUCAAAGACUGUGCUUUCAGACACUGUUGCUAAGGAAUAAAGAUUACCCAUUGAAGAGGACCCCAAGGAUCCCAACCACCCAAUGCCCCCUUUCACCCUGGGAAGACUUUCUUUCUGCACAAGCGUUGAGCAUGAGGUGAGACCCAGGGAACCUUGCAGAACUGGAUGAACUGUCUGGAAUGCUUUCUGAGCCCUCGGCCCACAAGAGCCCUGUGUGAUGUACAAGGUGGCCUCAGAGGCCACACGGCAGGCCAAUGCUCCCUUUAACCUGCACACAGCACAUGGCCACACCCCAACUCACUCUGGCUUCCUGGGGACAAGGACCAUCUUCACUUAGGGACUGCCCAUACUGUCCCUGCAGGCUCCAAGCAUGGCUUUCUGUAGUAGCCAAGGGCCUCUCCACUGCCUGGGCAACACUGGGCUUGGUCUGUAGGUCUCCUGUGGGACAAACAGUGUGAAUGCUGGCAGGUACAAAUGCAAGUGGGGAAGGGAGUGGCUCCCAGGGGAGGGAAUGUGGGAAUCCAAGAUGGACAGAAGACGUGACUGUGGCCCUUGGUUAGUGUGAGGACCCACAUAUGCGAUUAUGUGCUUCCCAAAUUACCCUCUUGGGUGGUUAGUGAUAUGAAGUCCCAGGGAAAAAGAACGUAAGGAAAGUCAUUUAAAAUGCAUAGCCCUAUUCUCAGGUGUGGUGGGACGCACCUUUACCACAAGCUAGCACUUGGGAGGCAGCAGGCUGGUCUCUGAGGUCCAGGCCAACCUAGUUAACAUCUCGAGACUGUCUCAGAAGCCCUUUCUUCCUCCUUUGGGGAACCUCCCACAGGUGGCUGGGGGAUCCUUGCUAGAGCUGUUCCUUUCCUGUCUCAGAGCUGUACUGAGGCCCUCUAGCACAGUGAUAGGCAUGGACACUCAGGCAAGGGUAUGGCUGGAUCUUCCGAGGCAAGCUAAAAGGCUAGCCAAGUGGGCACAACGCAGGACACAGCAGAGCCUCCCCAGGUUACACCUUCACAUUCCUAGAUCUGAGUUCUGAGGCCUAAGGCCUCUGGCUGGACUGGAGCUAUAACGCCUAAAGCUCUCAUCCAGAGCCUGGGGUCAUCGCAGGAAGGACCCUGAAGUUCUCUAAUGGUCACACUGAGUGUUCCUGAGGACCUUGUAGGUACUAUCUUCUGACUAGGGAGCAGCUGGCACUGGGUCAGCCUGGAGCAUCCCAGACCAUCGCUAACAAGCUCCACUAUCAUGGUCCUGGCACCAUUUCUUAGGCCCCAAUCUCUUCAUCUGCAGGGUGGUUAAUAAGUGUGUUCUCUCAAGAGACAAAGGUCUGUUCAAGUGUGGUGUAGACAGUGGAUGCCUGCAGCAUGACAGCUAGUGCACACAUGACCACAGGGCAGAAGAGAGCAGCAUGAAUAGUUAGGGGCAUUGGGCAGAACAAAUAAAUGUUCAGAGAGUCCUGAACAAUGGUUAGGAGAGGUUGACUCUAGCGCAUCCGUCCUAGCUCUCAGGUAAUCCCCACGCACUGGGAAUUGCAUCCGUUCUCUUCAGAGUAACCUUCAUGCUCUGGGAAGGUCUAGUUUUUCCUAACUGACUUGAGACUCACCCUCUUAGCCCCUAAUGUAGAGGACCUUGGUCCAGCACAGUCUGGCAAGAUUUUACAUCCUUCCUGCUUCUGAGGGUAGGUGCUCAGUAGGGGGGUAGAGUAGUGGAGCUGGGAUGCGGGAGUGGGUAACUCAGAGGUGGCCUCCAUUCUGAGAGCCAGCCAGGCCGUGGGCAACCUCCAGAGGGAGAAGUGGACUCUCCCACUCCUUGCAGAUCAGGAGUUCUGACCUCAAGGAGGCCUCAGGGCCAAGUACGUGGUUCAGAAAGUGAAGAAUUUGAUAGGUAUAAAACUGUGGUCAGCUAAUGUGGACAGGAUGCUUCUGUUGUUGCUUAUCUCUAAGUUCUUGGAAAUGUCUAGAUAAAACCAAGCUAAAGCUGAAA